rnacentral:rRNA from 1 species
UACGUAGGGUGCAAGCGUUGUCCGGAAUUAUUGGGCGUAAAGAGCUCGUAGGCGGUUUGUCGCGUCGGAUGUGAAAACCUGGGGCUUAACUCCGGGCCUGCAUUCGAUACGGGCAGACUAGAGUUCGGUAGGGGAGACUGGAAUUCCUGGUGUAGCGGUGAAAUGCGCAGAUAUCAGGAGGAACACCGGUGGCGAAGGCGGGUCUCUGGGCCGUAACUGACGCUGAGGAGCGAAAGCGUGGGGAGCGAACAGG